rnacentral:rRNA from 1 species
AUUGAACGCUGGCGGCAUGCCUUACACAUGCAAGUCGAACGGUAACAGGGAGCUUGCUCCGCUGACGAGUGGCGAACGGGUGAGUAAUGUAUCGGAACGUACCAUUCAGUGGGGGAUAACGUAGCGAAAGUUACGCUAAUACCGCAUAUUCUGUGAGCAGGAAAGCAGGGGAUCGCAAGACCUUGCGCUGAUUGAGCGGCCGAUAUCAGAUUAGCUAGUUGGUGAGGUAAAGGCUCACCAAGGCGACGAUCUGUAGCGGGUCUGAGAGGAUGAUCCGCCACACUGGAACUGAGACACGGUCCAGACUCCUACGGGAGGCAGCAGUGGGGAAUUUUGGACAAUGGGGGCAACCCUGAUCCAGCCAUGCCGCGUGAGUGAAGAAGGCCUUCGGGUUGUAAAGCUCUUUCGGCCGGGAAAAAAUCGCAUCAGUUAAUACCUGGUGUGGAUGAUGGUACCGGAAUAAGAAGCACCGGCUAACUACGUG